rnacentral:rRNA from 1 species
UACGAAGGGGGCUAGCGUUGCUCGGAAUCGCUGGGCGUAAAGCGCACGUAGGCGGCUUUCUAAGUCAGGGGUGAAAUCCUGGAGCUCAACUCCAGAACUGCCUUUGAUACUGGAGAGCUUGAGUCCGGAAGAGGUGAGUGGAACUCCGAGUGUAGAGGUGAAAUUCGUAGAUAUUCGGAAGAACACCAGUGGCGAAGGCGGCUCACUGGUCCGGUACUGACGCUCAGGCACGAAAGCGUGGGGAGCAAACAGG